GCACUAUUGACGAGUCCUAAACAGGACGAAACAGCUGUCUAAUGU
rnacentral:hammerhead_ribozyme from 1 species